UUGCAUGUUUUCGUACACUUCUGUGUACGGAGUUGCUAAGGCAGGAUACCAAACUUUGGUCGGGGAGGGAUCCUGCCUUUUAUUGUCAGUAA
rnacentral:tRNA from 1 species